rnacentral:rRNA from 1 species
UACGAAGGGGGCUAGCGUUGUUCGGAAUUACUGGGCGUAAAGCGCACGUAGGCGGGUCGUUAAGUCAGGGGUGAAAUCCCAGAGCUCAACUCUGGAACUGCCUUUGAUACUGGCGGCCUCGAGGCCGGAAGAGGUUAGUGGAAUUCCCAGUGUAGAGGUGAAAUGCGUAGAUAUUGGGAAGAACACCAGUGGCGAAGGCGGCUAACUGGUCCGGAUCUGACGCUGAGGUGCGAAAGCGUGGGGAGCAAACAGG